rnacentral:rRNA from 1 species
GCAGGGAAUAUUGCACAAUGGGCGAAAGCCUGAUGCAGCGACACCGCGUGCGGGAUGACGGCCUUAGGGUUGUAAACCGCUUUCGGGAGGGAAGAAAAUGACGGUACCUCCUAAAGAAGCUCCGGCCAACUACGUGCCAGCAGCCGCGGUAAUACGUAGGGAGCAAACGUUGUCCGGAUUUAUUGGGCGUAAAGGGCUCGUAGGCGGUUCAACAAGUCGGUCGUGAAAACCCGGAGCUCAACUCCGGGACGCCGGUCGAAACUGUUGUGACUAGAGUUCGGUAGAGGUGAGUGGAAUUCUCGGUGUAGCGGUGGAAUGCGCAGAUAUCGAGAGGAACACCAUUAGCGAAGGCGGCUCACUGGGCCGAUACUGACGCUGAGGAGCGAAAGCGUGGGGAGCAAACAGG